GUAUGGCAGAACAUCUAUGCGAAGUGCGACUUUCUGUUUUGUAACUGCCAUUGCAGCGCGAAAGCGUGAAGAGCAAACAGGCUUAGAUACUCUGGUAGUUCACUCCGCAAACGAUGAGUGCUCAGUGUUAGACGGUUUCCUCCCUUUAGUGCAGAAGUUACCGCAUUCAGCACUCCUCCUGGGGAGUACCGUCGCAAGGCUCAUCAUCAAUGGAAAAGACGGGGGGGCCGCACAAACGGUCGAGCAUUUCGGUUAAUUCGAAGCAACUCGAAGAACCCUCCCAGGUCUUGACAUCCUUUGAAAACCCUAGAGAUAGGGGUUCUCCUCAAGGAGCAGAGUGACUCAA
rnacentral:rRNA from 1 species